CUUUCCUCCCCAAGGGAAGAAGUCUACCUAAGAGACUUGGGUGUUUUCAAGAGAUAACGCCAUUACAGUUUAAGCCCCUUAAUUUGUCUGGGCUUUUGCUGUUGCAACUGGAAGAGGCAAAGAAUAAUGAUUAUUAAAAAGUAGGUAUGUGCAAUAUUGAGAUCAUCCGGUGGUUCUUCAUUGCAAUCCAACAGGCAAAGGAGUAAGAAAGAAUCCUGGAAUCUUAAUUCUGGUUCUCAAGGACACGGGAAUGAUAGAAUUGGAAUAUUCCAUAAUUACUCAUUUGCUUUACCCCACAUUGCAAAUGCCACUGUCACAGAAGAACAAUACUAAUACUACCACCACCAAUUAUAGUCACAGAAACAGAACCAACGUGUCACAUGGAAGAAAAUGAGCAGAACAAGACCACAGGAUACUAGAGAGGUAUAUUCUUUGUACUGUGCAGCUCCAGAGAUCUUUCUGUGUUGAUCUGAAUUUAAUGGUGGAAAUGUGGAGUGAAAGACAGAAGAGAUGUCUGGGGGCAAAAUGCCCUACAAAAGGAAAAGCAUAGAGAUCCACAUGGAAAGUGUUGCUAAAUGGUCUAUAUUUUGCUCUCUAGAACUUCUCAUUUCCUGUUCCAGAUUGGGAACACUGGGACACACAGU